rnacentral:rRNA from 1 species
UGGGGAAUAUUGCACAAUGGGCGCAAGCCUGAUGCAGCCAUGCCGCGUGUAUGAAGAAGGCCUUCGGGUUGUAAAGUACUUUCAGCGGGGAGGAAGGGAGUAAAGUUAAUACCUUUGCUCAUUGACGUUACCCGCAGAAGAAGCACCGGCUAACUCCGUGCCAGCAGCCGCGGUAAUACGGAGGGUGCAAGCGUUAAUCGGAAUUACUGGGCGUAAAGCGCACGCAGGCGGUCUGUCAAGUCGGAUGUGAAAUCCCCGGGCUCAACCUGGGAACUGCAUUCGAAACUGGCAGGCUAGAGUCUUGUAGAGGGGGGUAGAAUUCCAUGUGUAGCGAUGAAAUGCGUAGAGAUGUGGAGGAAUACCGGUGGCGAAGGCGGCCCCCUGGACAAAGACUGACGCUCAGGUGCGAAAGCGUGGGGAGCAAACAGG